rnacentral:rRNA from 1 species
UACGGGGGGGGCAAGCGUUGUUCGGAAUUACUGGGCGUAAAGGGCUCGUAGGUGGCCAACUAAGUCAGACGUGAAAUCCCUCGGCUUAACCGGGGAACUGCGUCUGAUACUGGAUGGCUUGAGGUUGGGAGAGGGAUGCGGAAUUCCAGGUGUAGCGGUGAAAUGCGUAGAUAUCUAGAGGAACACCAGUGGCGAAGGCGAGUCCCUGGACAACUCCUGACACUGAGGCACGAAAGCUAGGGGAGCAAACAGG